rnacentral:tRNA from 1 species
GCCAGUGUGGCUCAGUUGAUAAGACUGAUAAUCAAGAUCACACACAUUAGAGAUGUCUGAGUUCGAAUCUCAUCACUGACA